GCCGGGAUGGCGGAACUGGUAGACGCAGCGGACUCAAAAUCCGCCGGUGGCAACACCAUGUGGGUUCGAUUCCCUCUCCCGGCACCA
rnacentral:tRNA from 1 species